CCAAAUGAGAAUAACGAGAGAUAUCUUUCAAUAGAUAGCCGAAGAAGCAAUAUAAAAGGAGGCGUCCUUCUAUAGAAACUUUCAGGCAAAAGUAUCGUUAUUUGAUGGAACUCUGGAGAGUCCGAAGCAUCGGCGCCGUAGGAGAAACACAUUGAUAAAUGUAAAACUCUCAGGCUAAAAGACAGAGGA
rfam:Clostridium formicaceticum strain ATCC 27076, complete genome.